UAUUGCACCUUUUUUUAAUGUUCAAAACUUUGCAGACGGAUGCUCUAUUAUAAGAUGCAAAGGCGAUCGAACCUAUGAAUUAAUUAAUUUUCCUCUUUUAAGUUUUAACCUCUCUUUUGCCUGAAGAAAAUUUUCUUUUUUCUAAGGUAAAUGCUUUAGCAGGCAAAUCUCUAUUAAGCCACCAAAGAGAGAGAGAGAAGAGCAAUCAUAAGCAAAAAUCAUCGCCUAAUAUAUCGCUAAUUCAACUAUCCACCAAAGAGAGAGAGAGAGAGAGAAGCAAUCAUAAGCAGAAAUCAUCGCCUAAUAUAUCGCUAAUUCAACUUUCCACCAAAGAGAGAGAGAGAAGAGCAAUCAUAAGCAAAAAUCAUCGCCUAAUAUAUCGCUAAUUCAACUAUACGGAUGCUCUAUUAUAAGAUGCAAAGGCGAUCGAACCUAUGAAUUAAUUAAUUUUCCUCUUUUAAGUUUUAACCUCUCUUUUGCCUGAAGAAAAUUUUCUUUUUUCUAAGGUAAAUGCUUUAGCAGGCAAAUCUCUAUUAAGCCACCAAAGAGAGAGAGAGAGAGAAGAAAUCAUAAGCAGAAAUCAUCGCCUAAUAUAUUGCUAAGUCAACUUUCCACCAAAGAGAGAGAGAGAGAGAGAAGAAAUCAUAAGCAGAAAUCAUCGCCUAAUAUAUCGCUAAUUCAACAUUGUAAGGAAAUUCAAAAUCUCUCUAUCUUUUUUUUCCUAAUUUUUCUUCAUCAACUUCAUUUUUUUUUUUGGUAAAUUAAAUAUUGCAC